rnacentral:rRNA from 1 species
CCUACGGGAGGCAGCAGUGAGGAAUAUUGGUCAAUGGGCGGGAGCCUGAACCAGCCAAGUCGCGUGAGGGAAGACGGUCCUAUGGAUUGUAAACCUCUUUAGGCGGGGAGCAAUGCCGGGCACGCGUGCCCGGAGGGAGAGUACCCGCAGCAUAAGCAUCGGCUAACUCCGUGCCAGCAGCCGCGGUAAUACGGAGGAUGCGAGCGUUAUCCGGAUUUAGUGGGUUUAAAGGGUGCGUAGGCGGAUUUUUAAGUCAGCGGUAAAAUGUCCGGGCUCAACCCGGGCCGGCCGUUGAUACUGGGGAUCUUGAGUGGGCGAGAGGUAUGCGGAAUGCGUGGUGUAGCGGUGAAAUGCAUAGAUAUCACGCAGAACUCCGAUUGCGAAGGCAGCAUACCGGCGCCCGACUGACGCUGAGGCACGAAAGCGUGGGGAUCGAACAGGAUUAGAUACCCCUGUAGUC